UACGGAGGGUGCGAGCGUUGUCCGGAAUCACUGGGCGUAAAGGGCGCGUAGGCGGCCUGUUAAGUCGAACGUGAAAUCCCCGGGCUCAACCCGGGAACUGCGUCUGAUACUGGAAGGCUUGAGUGCGGGAGAGGGAUGUGGAAUUCCAGGUGUAGCGGUGAAAUGCGUAGAUAUCGAGAGGAACACCUGCGGCGAAGGCGGGUUGCUGGGCUGACACUGACGCUGAGGCGCGAAAGCUAGGGGAGCGAACGGG
rnacentral:rRNA from 1 species